ensembl:lincRNA
CUUGCUCCUCUUUCUGCUCUUGUGGCUUUUCCUGUUUUCUGCCACUAUGAACUGUUGCCCUAUACCAUGUGUCACUCUGCCUUGGAGCCAGGUGAGUAUAGACUGAAACCUCCACAAACUGAGAGCUAACUAAACCCAUAAUUUUGAGCUAACUAAUCCCAUAAUUUUGGGCGUCAGGUAUUUUGUCUCUUCAAUGAGAGAAAAUUAACCAAGAUAGUUGGGACUUUGAAAGGUGACUGAAUCACAGGUACACUAUCGCUAGAGGCUGUUAGGAGGCGGAGGUGGCUCACCCAGGGAGUGGCCGGGAAGGGUGUCUUUCCCUCCCUGGCUCCUCCCUAUGCUCUCCACUUGCCAGCCACCACAACUUGAACAAUUUUCCCUCACCCAUGUAAGGACUGAAACUUUUGGAACUUGAACCAAAACAGAUCUCUCCUCCUUUAAGUUGUGAGUGUCCAGUAUUUCUUCUCAGAGCUGAGAAAGUACUAAAGAUAUUACGCAUGGUGAUUUAGGUUAUUUUCACACCUUUCUGUCUGAAUGUGGUUGCGGUGAACACCUCGGGGUCUCCAUUCCCACCACUCCCACCUGCUUUACCUUCCCAGAGAAGGAACUUCCUGUCUUUCACCAGGGAGAUGGGAGGGUAUCCAAGCCUCUUAGCUGCUGCUGCUUCUGCUUGUGCUUUGUAUUUUCAGGGCCAGGGAUGGAACCCGGGGCCCCCAUUUGCUGGGCAAGUCCUCUACCCCUGAGCUGCGCUCUCAGCCCCGAGACCCUCGGCUCUCUUUCCUUUGUCCUUCACGUCCAAAGCUUUGGAGUAUCUGGUGAGGAAUUAAAGAGCUGCAGUGUCCAGCUCUUGAACAGAUUGCCCUGAUACCUUGCUUCCAAUCAAGCCCAGUCUGCAGGGGGAAUUUCUGCCUCUAACCAGAGGGACGCACUUGCUGCCAGCUUUGAAAACUGUAGUGGCAGCAGGCACAGAAAUGUUGAAUGAAAAAUGUAAAAUUGACUUUCUGGAAGCUUUAGGAAGCCGGAAAAGGAGGAGAAGGAAAAGGAAAAGGAGGAGGAGGAAGUUAAUUGUGUUGUUUGGACAAGAAUUCAGUUCAACAGACCAUGUUAUUUUGCAGGCAACCAUAAGACAAGCCUGAUAAAAUAGGACAAAGGAAAAGGCAUUUCUACUGCUCCUUUUUCCAGAAAGCCUGGGUCCCACAACUCUGUGGUUCCCCUGGAAGCUUUGGUGGAUGCUGUCCCGAAGGAAACCCAUGGGACCCUCUUCCUACCACUGGAACACGGUCUGAGGUUGGCAAUGCUGGCGGACAGCAAAGCACUGCAUUAGUGAAGUGAUUUGCUGUUUCCUCUGAUAACCGCGGUGUUUAAUUUAUUGUCUUGGCUUCACUGAGCUAACUUAGGACCUGAUAAUGUCUCAUAGUUUACUGCCUGAAGAGACACUGAAGUGGAAGGUUCUAGAAAGAAUUCAAGACAGUAUAAAGAAGAAACUUCUGGUACUCCUGCAGAUGGAAAUGGUUCCCCUCCACAAGCUUAACUUCACCACCAAGCCAUGAUUGAACUGGGUGACUUAGUUUUCCAAAUCGACAGCUCUAUGAAAAACAAUUAUUAAAGGCCGCUGCUUCAUCAAGCAUGGCUGCACUGAGACAGCAUCGUCCUCAUUGUGGCUAACUGCAUUGCUCAGGCUAAGAGGCCCUUUACUAUUGGCGCAGGGCUCCAGGUCAGAAAAUGCGUUCCUCUUUGAGCUAGUAGCAUAGCUAGACGACCUAAUGAAAGAGUGGAAGAUUUUGAGAUGUUUGCAAUCUAGAUUAUUAGCAAGACUUCCCGUGCUGAUGACAAGAAAGCAGUGCUUGUUUUCGUGGUUGGUAUGUUUUUCAAGAGCAGGUGCAUGGGGAUAUAUAUGUUACAUGCACUUUUGUUGCCAAUGAGCACCGUGGCUGGGGGAAGAUUACCUUCAGGAAAACCGACUUGGUUAUUGUGUGUCAGUGAGUGGCUGAACAGCUUUCUGAUUGUGCUACUUGGGUCAAAGAGUUUGUUUUGCAUGUGAAUCUACACACUGUGCCACCCACAGAGAAAUUCUGGCAAGCUGAAAAAUGUCACCGGAACUUAAUAACUUUUUGCAGGGUGUGAUUAAAAUUGUCAACCACAUUAAAGUAGAUGCCCUUAAUGCACGUCUGUUCGUGCAGCACUGCAAGGAGAGGGAUGAGAGCAUAUGUGUCUCCUCUAAUGCAUAGAUGUGAGCUGGCUCACUAAAGGUAUUUCUCUGGCCAGAGAUUUCUUUUUCAAAAAAAAAUAGUCAUCAUUGGUGGCACAUUUCAGUGUCACAGAAUGGUUCCAAAACUCACUGAUAUGACAUAUUCAACCUGCUGAUUGAACUCAAUCUGUCAUUUAAGGGGCGAAUGACAACUGUGUUCAAGUUGGCAGAUAAAAUUGCCGCAUUCAAAGACAAACUGGGAUUUUGAGGGUGACAAGUGAACAUGGAGAUUUUUGACGUGUUUCAAUUGUUAGCGGAGAUUUGGAAAGAGACUGAGUCAGGGCCUUAUUUCUCCCAGCUGGAGCACAAUCUCCCAUCUUAGCUUUCGAAAGAGUUUGAGCAUUGCUUCUCAACCACAGAACACUCUCGAAUGGGGAAGAGAUGGGUCCGUGGCUUGAUUGGGAGACAGCCAGCUGAUUGGACUUGCUCUGUGUUGGGAGGGGAUCAGUGCUUGAGAUUGCAAGUAAUGAUGGUCUUGAAAGUACGUCUGGGACACACUCCCAUGCAUUCUUGACAUUAAAGUUAAGGCAGAGCAUCCUGAGAUUGACACACAAGUCCUGAAAAGCCUGCUUCCAUUUCUAACAUCCUGCCUUUGUGAGGCAGGGUUUUCUGCAGUGACAGCCACCAAAAUGACAUUAUGAGUAGAUUAGACAUGAGCGACACCCUUCAGGUGUCACUGUCUCCCAUCACCCCCAGAUGGGACCAUCUAAUUGCAGGAAGACAAGCCCAGGGCUCCCAUUGAUCCUGCAUUAUGUGAGCUUUGGAAUUAUUUCAUUAUAUAUUACAAUGAAAUAAUAAUAGAAAUCAAGUACAAAAAUUUAAUGUGCCUGAAUCAUCCUGAAAUCACCCCAAACCCGUGGAAAAAUUCUCUUUUACAAAACCAGUUCCUGGUGCCAAAGAGUUGGGACCAGCAGUUCUAACAGAGUUGAAGACUGCAAGGUCAGCCUCUUGCCCACUAGGGGGCCUAUUAAAGAGCUUGGGACAGAAGACAACGCCUGAGAGGAGCAAUUGUUCCCAGUAGAGGGGUUGGUGCCACCAAACUCCUGGACUAAGUCAAAUCCUGUAAGCUCCACCAGACGACUUCACCUGGGCCCUGGCACUAAACACUGAUAUGAUCCUUCGGGAAAAAGCAGUGUGAUUAUAGAAAAUACUUACGGAGUGCCCAGUCUGUGUCAGACACUGUGCUGAAUGUCUCUUGCAUAUUAUCUCAUUUAAAUCUUCACCGCAACUCUGCACAGUACCAUUAUGUCUAUGUUCAUAAGGAAAACAAGGGCUAAAAAGAUGAAGAAGACAGCUAGAGCCACAGAUCUGGACAAGACAGGGCUGGAACCCAGGAACUCUGCUUUGGGAAGUGCGAGCCUCUGCACCACUGAGGUUGUCGUCCCAGAAUAGACUUUGACCUCUGCUUGCAGUUGUUGGAUUUUACUCAAGGAAAUGAUAAGACAAUGGCCUGAUUCAGAACAAAGUAGAUCUAAAAACCUUAAUGCCCUGUUCUGGUAGGAGAACAAGCAAGUAAACUGUUCACAUAGAAUCACUUACAUUGCCCAGGGUUUUGUUUUUGUUUUUGCCAACUACACUAAUUUUCCUGGGAUAAACUCUUGGUUAUGAUGUAGUAUUCUCUUCUAUAUUACUGAUUUAAGUUUUCUAAUCUUUAAGGAUUUUUAUACAAGUAUUAACUUCCUGAGGAGUAAGGUAUACAUGCAGGUGUGUGUGUGUGUUUGAGUUUUGGUGCUGGGGAUCAAACCCAGGGCCUCACACAUACUUACACAGCCGUAAAACAAAGUCACAUGUAAUAGCAAAGAGUGCU